rnacentral:rRNA from 1 species
GAUGAUACGCGAGGAACCUUACCGGGCUCGAACGGUGCAGGAAGAGAUCUGGAGACAGUGACGCCCUUCGGGGCCUGCAUCGAGGUGCUGCAUGGUUGUCGUCAGCUCGUGCCGUGAGGUGUCGGCUCAAGUGCCAUAACGAGCGCAACCCUUGUCGUCAGUUGCCAUCAGGUGAAGCUGGGGACUCUGACGAGACUGCCACCGCAAGGUGUGAGGAGGGGGGGGAUGACGUCAAAUCAGCACGGCCCUUACGUCCGGGGCGACACACGUGUUACAAUGGCGGCCACAGAGGGAAGCUACCUGGUGACAGGAUGCAAAUCUCGAAAAGCCGUCUCAGUUCGGACUGGAGUCUGCAACCCGACUCCACGAAGUUGGAUUCGCUAGUAAUCGCGCAUCAGCCAUGGCGCGGUGAAUACGUUCCCGGGCCUUGUACACACCGCCCGUCAAGCCAUGGAAGCCGCGGGCGCCUGAAGUCCGUGACCGAGAGGAGCGGCCUAGGGCGAAAGUGGUAACUGGGGCU